AACAAGAUGGAGAUUUUAGAAGGGAGACAGUAGGGACCUACAAGUCCUGCUAUGGUCAUAACCCAAGGAACUUAGGAAAACACACUGAAGUUUCACUGUGGCUAAGCAGAGACCAGGACCUGAGAGUAAGGCAUGGGGCUGAAGUUCUUACGUGGAAAGAGAAAAACAGGCAGAGAUUUGUGCUUUACCAGCCCCUGUCUUGGACCAACCCAGCAACACAAGCAUGUGUUUGUGCUGCUGUUCAGUGCUGCCAUCACCCAGCAACCAGGGAAGCCACUUGCUCAUCAGAGACGGCUCAGGAUGGUGACCAAGUACCACAAGAACCCCUCCUGGGCUCCUCCUGGAAUGGUGUGAUCAAGGGGUGCACCACUGUGCAGCCUUACCAUGAUUUGAUCAUUCCAAAAAUCCUCUGGCUCGUCAGGGCACACAGGAAUGGAGGGUGAGCCCAGGAACCCACUCACCCAGCAGCCCAGCCACACUGCAAGCAGAUUUUUCUUUCCUCAAAUAUAUCCAUUAUAUCUCUUCA